rnacentral:rRNA from 1 species
UGUAGUCUGCAACCCGACCUACAUGAAGCUGGAAUCGCUAGUAAUCGCAGGUCAGCAUACUGCCGUGAAUACGUUCCCGGGCCUUGUACACACCGCCCGUCACACCAUGAGAGUUAGGAAUACCCGAAGCCUGUGAGCCAACUUUUCAAGAGGCAGCAGUCGAAGGUAGAACUAAUGAUUGGGGUGAAGUCGUAACAAGGUAGC